GGGGAAUAUUGCACAAUGGGGGAAACCCUGAUGCAGCGACGCCGCGUGAGUGAAGAAGUAUUUCGGUAUGUAAAGCUCUAUCAGCAGGGAAGAAAAUGACGGUACCUGACUAAGAAGCCCCGGCUAACUACGUGCCAGCAGCCGCGGUAAUACGUAGGGGGCAAGCGUUAUCCGGAUUUACUGGGUGUAAAGGGAGCGUAGGUGGUGUGGUAAGUCAGAUGUGAAAGCCCGGGGCUCAACUCCGGGAUUGCAUUUGAAACUAUCAUGCUAGAGUGCAGGAGAGGUAAGUGGAAUUCCUAGUGUAGCGGUGAAAUGCGUAGAUAUUAGGAGGAACACCAGUGGCGAAGGCGGCUUACUGGACUGUAACUGACACUGAGGCUCGAAAGCGUGGGGAGCGAAC
rnacentral:rRNA from 1 species